rnacentral:rRNA from 1 species
GACGAACCGUGCGAACGUUGUUCGGAUUCACUGGGCUUAAAGGGCGCGCAGGCGGUCGUCCAAGUCGAGUGUGAAAGCCCCCGGCUCAACUGGGGAGGGUCACUCGAUACUGAUCGACUCGAAGGCAGAAGAGGGAAGCGGAAUUCCCGGUGUAGUGGUGAAAUGCGUAGAUAUCGGGAGGAACACCAGUGGCGAAGGCGGCUUUCUGGUCUGCUCUUGACGCUGAGGCGCGAAAGCUAGGGUAGCAAACGGG